rnacentral:rRNA from 1 species
GUCGAGCGGACGUUUUUGAAGCUUGCUUCAAAAACGUUAGCGGCGGACGGGUGAGUAACACGUGGGCAACCUACCUUAUCGACUGGGAUAACUCCGGGAAACCGGGGCUAAUACCGGAUAACAUCUAGCACCUCCUGGUGCCGGAUUAAAAGAGGGCUUCUUGCUCUCACGAUGAGAUGGGCCCGCGGCGCAUUAGCUAGUUGGAGAGGUAACGGCUCCCCAAGGCGACGAUGCGUAGCCGACCUGAGAGGGUGAUCGGCCACACUGGGACUGAGACACGGCCCAGACUCCUACGGGAGGCAGCAGUAGGGAAUCUUCCGCAAUGGACGAAAGUCUGACGGAGCAACGCCGCGUGAGUGAUGAAGGGUUUCGGCUCGUAAAGCUCUGUUAUGAGGGAAGAACACGUACCGUUCGAAUAGGGCGGUACCUUGACGGUACCUCAUCAGAAAGCCACGGCUAACUACGUGCCAGCAGCCGCGGUAAUACGUAGGUGGCAAGCGUUGUCCGGAAUUAUUGGGCGUAAAGCGCGCGCAGGCGGCCUUUUAAGUCUGAUGUGAAAUCUUGCGGCUCAACCGCAAGCGGCCAUUGGAAACUGGGAGGCUUGAGUACAGAAGAGGAGAGUGGAAUUCCACGUGUAGCGGUGAAAUGCGUAGAUAUGUGGAGGAACACCAGUGGCGAAGGCGACUCUCUGGUCUGUAACUGACGCUGAGGCGCGAAAGCGUGGGGA